rnacentral:rRNA from 1 species
UAAAUGGCUGCGGUAAUUUGACCGUACAAAGGUAGCAUAAUCAUUAGUUUAUUAAUUGUAAACUGGAAUGAAUGAUUGGACAAAAGAGAUACUGUCUCAAAUUUAAGGAAUGAAUUUUAUUUAUUAGUGAGAAAGCUGAUAUUAUUAUGAAAGACGAGAAGACCCUGUAGAUCUUUAUUUAAAGGUAAUUUAGGGUUGUGUUUAAUAUAAUUUUUAAUUUAGUUGGGGUAAUUAUGUGUAUAAAAUGAAUAUUUAAUGGUUUAUACUUAAUAGUAAUAGAGUGACCUUUACUUUUAAUAGGUUUUUGAUUAAGUUACCUCAGGGAUAACAGCAUAAUUUAAUUUAGGAGUUCUUAUCUAUAAUUGAGUUUGUGACCUCGAUGUUGGAUUAAGGAUACGAUUAGGUGCAGAAGCUUAAUUAGUGAGUCUGUUCGACUUUUAAAUCCUUACAUGAUCUGAGUUCAAACCGGCGUGAGCCAGGUUG